UUUUCUAUAAACAGAUUAUUGAGUACUCAUUGGUAUAUUAGUCUACUUUUCUUCUAUGUUGGUAAAAGCAUUUUGAGUUAUUUGUACUGUAUCUAACACAUGUUUGUACCUGCUGGCACAUACCUUUAAAGCCAGCAUUUUGAAGGCAAAGGCAGGCGCGUCUCUGUAAGUUCAAAGGCCAGCCUGGUCUACAUAGCAAAUUCCAAGCUAGUCAGACCUACAUAAUAAGUUUUAACACAAACCAAUGAAAAACAUUAUGAUAAGGAUAUACGGAUCCAAUUUUACUUUUUCUCUACACCAUUCUUGGAUAUCCCAACAUCAUUUUUUAAAAACAGGUUUAUUGAUUUUUACGUGUAUUGGUGGAUCUCCGUGCACUACAUGCCUGCAGUUCCCAAAGAAGCCAGAAAAGGGCAUCAGACCUCCCCGGAACUGGAGUUAAAGAUGGUUGAGAGCUGCCACACGGGUGUUAGGAACAGAACCCGAAUCCUCCGGAAGAGCAGUCAGGCGCCUGACUGUGGGCCACCUCUGCAGCGUCCAACAUUAAUUAUUAAAUUUUCUCAGGAAAGAGAGGCCUCAGAUGCCCUCAGGAGCACGGGCUGCCUGAAAUCACAAGACUCGGGUAUCACUUACACAGAGCAGCGAGAGAAUGGAGCAAGGCAGAACAUGUGUUUCCCUCCCAGCCUGCCCCAGUGCUCCGUGGCCUCCUGCCAGCCUCAGAACGGACAAAGCAUCCAGAUAAGAUGGGGGCGUGCUCUCUAAUGCUCACGAUAUCCUGGAGGCUGGGCAGCGAGCUCUGUAGAAAAGAUAAUGAAGUAUUGAGCUGUCCUUUGGGGGGGUGUUGUUGUUGUUGUUGUUGUUGUUGUUGUUGUUGUUGAUGCUGCUGCUGCUGCUGCUGCUGCUGCUGCUGCUGCUGCUGCUGCUGUUUUCAUUCAGCAAUUGUACAGAAUCUCUUUUACCAAAUUGGGAACUGAGAACAGAAAAGGUCCACCAGAUAAAGAAAGCGGUGCUCUGAGCCUCUGUGCCUCUUCUCCAGCUGCACAGAACGCUCUACGUGGUCAAUUUGGCACAAAGCAGAUUAAAAUAUUUAUUUAUUUAUUUAUUUAUUUAUUUAUUCAUUCAUUCAUUCAUUUACCCGUGCUGCACGGAGGACAACUUGGGUGACGUUCGUUCCUCGGGUACACCUACCAUUUUUCUCUUUUGUAAUAGGGUCUCUCAGUGUCCAGGAUUGCCAAGUAGGCUAAGAUGAUUUGCUAUAGAGCCCAAGGGAUCUGCGUGUGUCUGAUUCUCCAGCCCUAUGAUUUCAAGUGGCCACCAUGCCUGCCUGCCUUUCAUUUUUUUUUUUUUUAAACAUACGUCUGGGAGUCAAACUCAGGCCAUGGUCGGUAAUAGACGCAGUCACACACCACACUGCUCUAGACACAACAAACGAAUGAACACCUUCCCAUGAUUCUUGCUGAGAGUAGCUUUAUUUGAGUUAUUCCUCAAUACUAUGCAUCAUAUAACAGAAUGAAGGUUUUCUAUAAUGGCCUAUAUAGGUAAAGUCCCUAUGAAAAGACAACCCCCCUGCCACACACACACACACACACACACACACACACACACACACACACGAUAAUACAGGACUUAGAAAUUAUGAGUAUCUGGGCUGGAGAGAUGGCUCAGUGGUUAAGAGUACUGACUGCUCUUCCAGAGGUCCCAGAAACCACACGGUGGCUCCCAACCAUCUGUAAUGGGAUCCGAUGCCCUCUUCUGGUGUGUCUGAAGACAGCUAUGAUGGACUUAUAGAUAAUAAAUAAAUCUUUUUUUAAAAAAGAAACUAUGAGUUUCAACCAAAGUACUUCAGGUGAAACUACAAUAAGCACCUUUUUUCAUUUUUCUUUUUGUAUAUAUGUGUUUGGCAUCAGGAAUUGAUGGGUACCAGAUGUGUGCAGGAACUAGAGCUACAGGUAGUUACGAGCUGUCUGAUGUGGGUGCUGAAACUUGAACUCAGGUCCUCCGGAAGAGCAAUAACUACUUUUAACAGUGGAGCCAUCUCACCCCACCUUCCUUCCUCCCCUAAUAAUUGUAUAAAAUGUUCACUCUAUACCUCCUCAUGUAGUCAGUUCUCUCAUGCUCUUCUCCGUCAGAAUUUAAAUGGCACUUAUCAGUUCACCCCUUUUCUUUUUUUUUUUUAUUUUUUAUUAACUUGAGUAUUUCUUAUUUACAUUUCGAAUGUUAUUCCCUUUCCCGGUUUCCGGGCCAACAUCCCCCUCCCCCUCCCCCUCCCUUUCUAUAUGGGCUUCCCCUCCCCAUCCUCCCCCCAUUAUCACCCUCCCCCCAACAAUCACAUCCACUGGGGGUUCAGUCUUGGCAGGACCCAGGGCUUCCCCUUCCACUGGUGCUCUUACUAGGAUAUUCAUUGCUACCUAUGCAGUUGGAGCCCAGGGUCAGUCCAUGUAUAGUCUUUGGGUAGUGGCUUAGUCCCUGGAAGCUCUGGUUGCUUGGCAUUGUUGUUCAUAUGGGGUCUCGAGCCCCUUCAAGCUCUUCCAGUUCUUUCUCUGAUUCCUUCAACGGGGGUCCCGUUCUCAGUUCAGUGGUUUGCUGCUGGCAUUCGCCUAUGUAUUUGCUGUAUUCUGGCUGUAUCUCUCAGGAGCGAUCUACAUCCGGUUCCUGUCAGCCUGCACUUCUUUGCUUCAUCCAUCUUGUCUAAUUGGGUGGCUGUAUAUGUAUGGGCCACAUGUGGGGCAGGCUCUGAAUGGGUGUUCCUUCUGUCUCUGUUUUAAUCUUUGCCUCUCUCUUCCCUGCCAAGGGUAUUCUUGUUCCCCUUUUAAAGAAGGAGUGAAGCAUUCGCAGUUUGAUCAUCCAUCUUGAGUUUCAUGUGUUCUAUUCAUCUAGGGUAAUUCAAGCAUUUGGGCUAAUAGCCACUCAUCAAUGAGUGCAUACCAUGUGUGUUUUUCUGUGAUUGGGUUAGCUCACUCAGGAUGAUAUUUUCCAGUUCCCUCCAUUUGCCUAUGAAUUUCAUAAAGUCAUUGUUUUUGAUAGCUGAGUAAUAUUCCGUUGUGUAGAUGUACCACAUUUUCUGUAUCCAUUCCUCUGUUGAAGGGCAUCUGGGUUCUUUCCAGCUUCUGGCUAUUAUAAAUAAGGCUGCUAUGAA